UCGUGGCCGAGUCUGCUUGGAGAAGACGCCGCCCUCAUAAGGCGGAGACGCCGGGUUCGAUGCCCGGGGCCACGAUC
rnacentral:tRNA from 1 species